AUCAUUUAACUUUGGCAUGCUAAAAAAGAAAAGGAUGUGUUAGAAUUGACUUGCGUCAUGCAAACAUCGAAAAUAACGACAUCCUUGUUCAAAGAUGAAAUCAUCGUGAAUAACGGUGUGCAUCCAGUGUCAGGACUACUCAAUGCAACGCGGUACCCAGUUGCAGAAAUGUAUAUAAAAAUUGCCUCGCGAAGGACAUGAGUCCCUGUUCGGCCUGUUGGUCAUGAAGGACAAUAAGUAUGACACACACGUUUGUAUGUUCUGUUUUUUGUUACUUUGAAAUAUGCUGCUGUUGGCCGGGGCACAUAUAGGGUUGUGGUGCUGCUCCCUCAGCUAAGAAGAGUGUCAUUGACAUGUCCCGAGCGUUCUCGAAGACAAGCUGGAAUAAUAUAGCCCAGACUUGGUGUUAGUAUUCACCUUGUGCUUGCUGUUAGGGUCCAUUGCUUUGAGUUCCCUUGGGAAUAUUCGAUGUGCCUUUUUGUUUUUGUAAUAUUUAUGGGUUUAUUAUAUGUCUGUGUGAAUCAACAAUUGGCUAUUUGGUGUCCAGUUUGACAAGAUCACAUCUGUGAUCAAUAUUUCAGUUUUGACAAAAUCACCACUGUCUGUGACAAUUAUAUCACCACUGUCACAUUGUCAGUGAUAACGAAAUGUUCUAUAAAUCGCUAUUGUAUAUGAGUCAGCAACGACUCAUCAUUUAAAGGAAGGGCUGUAACUAUUUGUAAAAUAUCUAAAUAGAAAAAUAGAUAGAAAAAUAUCUAAAUGAAAUUGCUAUUCGCUGAAAAUGUAAAAAUAACGUUUUUCGGCUAAAUUUAGUCAACGGUUAAAAUUGUGUGUUUGGAAGUAGUGAAAAACGUUCUGUCUCUAAACACACCCCUUGUCUACCCCGAUAUUAAUGAAUUACUGAUGUCCAAUGUUCCUAGCAAUAUCGGCCACCAUCAUAACGCUAGUAUAGUAAAGAGUGGUGAGUUAGCAUUGUAGACUUGCCUUAUGCCUGCUUGCCACACCGAAGAUCUGGGUUCGCAUCCAAACGAGUACAAAGUGUGAAACCCAUUCCUAUGUCAUAUGGUUAUUUGGUGUUAAAAUCGCUGUAGAUCAACAUUAGCGGUCACUCGCCUUUCCGUUCACCAUCACAAGCCGGAAGUGGAGGUGGUCUUGACUGGUUUUGUCGGCUGGUUGCGUCUUUGUCAGUGAUCAAUGUACAUACCUUCACGCAUCCCACGUUUUCGUGAUGAACAAUAUACCUCCGUUUCGACGUCAAGUGCAUGGAAGGUGUAGUAUAGACUAGAUGAGUGUUGGCGUUGCUCCCACUUACACCAUCACAUGUUCUAAUGUAUGAAGUAUUUGUAAAAAUGAACUAUUUCAGAUAAAUAUUAUACUUUUCCAAA